GAACGCUGGCGGCAUGCUUAACACAUGCAAGUCGAACGGUAGCAGAAGAGAGCUUGCUUCUUGCUGACGAGUGGCGGACGGGUGAGUAAUGCAUAGGAAAUUGCCUUAAGUGGGGGAUAACAUUCGGAAACGAAUGCUAAUACCACAUAAUAACUACGGUUCAAAGUGGGGGCUCGCAAGACCUCACGCCCUAAGAGAUGCCUAUAUUGGAUUAGCUUGUUGGUGAGGUAAUGGCUCACCAAGGCAACGAUCCAUAGCUGGUUUGAGAGGAUGAUCAGCCACAUUGGGACUGAGACACGGCCCAAACUCCCACGGGAGGCAGCAGUGGGGAAUAUUGGACAAUGGGGGAAACCCUGAUCCAGCAAUGCCGCGUGUGUGAAAAUGAAGGUCUUAGGAUUGUAAAGCACUUUUAGUAAUGAAGAAUGGUUAGUAGCUAAUACCUGCUAAUUUGACAUUAGUUACAGAAAAAGCACCGGCUAACUCCGUGCCAGCAGCGGC
rnacentral:rRNA from 1 species